GAGGCCAAGGUAAAAUCAGACAUCAUUUGACUGGACCCCAAUAUCAUAUCAAACUCUACUCUGUCUUUUAAACAGAGGAAGAAGGUCUUGAUGUAAUAGAGUGAGAAGGAAGGAAAAGCUGUAGUAAUUGAACAAUUUGGAGUGAACUGUGGGAAGAAUGUGAAGAGGGAAUCUAAGACUAAAAUCUCCAGUUCUUUCUGUAUGUUUAUGAGUUCUCCAGACCAAAGGUGCAAGCCAUGUUCUAGUAGAUCACAGGAGCAAGCUGCAUUGGUAAUGCCCCUAAGCCAGGCCACCCUGCCCUGGAGCCAGCCAGGAUUUUUAGAUUCAAGCCACAAGUUUAACAUCUAUGCAAGACAAUUAUCAUUAUACAGUUAGAUAUGUUGUAUUAUAUGUGUACCAUCAAGUUUCAUUGAUCUUCAUCAAUAGAAGUCAAAAGAAUA